rfam:Culex pipiens quinquefasciatus supercont3.999 genomic scaffold, whole genome shotgun sequence.
CAAACGGCCCUUUUCAGGGCCAAUAAAUCAAUCACGAAAGAAUUUGU